rnacentral:rRNA from 1 species
GAUGAACGCUGGCGGCGUGCCUAAUACAUGCAAGUCGAGCGAACGGACGAGAAGCUUGCUUCUCUGAUGUUAGCGGCGGACGGGUGAGUAACACGUGGAUAACCUACCUAUAAGACUGGGAUAACUUCGGGAAACCGGAGCUAAUACCGGAUAAUAUUUUGAACCGCAUGGUUCAAAAGUGAAAGACGGUCUUGCUGUCACUUAUAGAUGGAUCCGCGCUGCAUUAGCUAGUUGGUAAGGUAACGGCUUACCAAGGCAACGAUGCAUAGCCGACCUGAGAGGGUGAUCGGCCACACUGGAACUGAGACACGGUCCAGACUCCUACGGGAGGCAGCAGUAGGGAAUCUUCCGCAAUGGGCGAAAGCCUGACGGAGCAACGCCGCGUGAGUGAUGAAGGUCUUCGGAUCGUAAAACUCUGUUAUUAGGGAAGGACAUAUGUGUAAGUAACUGUGCACAUCUUGACGGUACCUAAUCAGAAAGCCACGGCUAACUACGUGCCAGCAGCCGCGGUAAUACGUAGGUGGCAAGCGUUAUCCGGAAUUAUUGGGCGUAAAGCGCGCGUAGGCGGUUUUUUAAGUCUGAUGUGAAAGCCCACGGCUCAACCGUGGAGGGUCAUUGGAAACUGGAAAACUUGAGUGCAGAAGAGGAAAGUGGAAUUCCAUGUGUAGCGGUGAAAUGCGCAGAGAUAUGGAGGAACACCAGUGGCGAAGGCGACUUUCUGGUCUGUAACUGACGCUGAUGUGCGAAAGCGUGGGGAUCAAACAGGAUUAGAUACCCUGGUAGUCCACGCCGUAAACGAUGAGUGCUAAGUGUUAGGGGGUUUCCGCCCCUUAGUGCUGCAGCUAACGCAUUAAGCACUCCGCCUGGGGAGUACGACCGCAAGGUUGAAACUCAAAGGAACUGACGGGGACCCGCACAAGCGGUGGAGCAUGUGGUUUAAUUCGAAGCAACGCGAAGAACCUUACCAAAUCUUGACAUCCUUUGACAACUCUAGAGAUAGAGCUUUCCCCUUCGGGGGACAAAGUGACAGGUGGUGCAUGGUUGUCGUCAGCUCGUGUCGUGAGAUGUUGGGUUAAGUCCCGCAACGAGCGCAACCCUUAAGCUUAGUUGCCAUCAUUAAGUUGGGCACUCUAAGUUGACUGCCGGUGACAAACCGGAGGAAGGUGGGGAUGACGUCAAAUCAUCAUGCCCCUUAUGAUUUGGGCUACACACGUGCUACAAUGGACAAUACAAAGGGCAGCGAAACCGUGAGGUCAAGCAAAUCCCAUAAAGUUGUUCUCAGUUCGGAUUGUAGUCUGCAACUCGACUACAUGAAGCUGGAAUCGCUAGUAAUCGUAGAUCAGCAUGCUACGGUGAAUACGUUCCCGGGUCU